CCGGAGCGCUAGCUUCGGUGGAGGCGCUGGUGGGAUACCGCCCUGACUGUAUUGAAAUUCUAACCUACGGGUCUUAUCGACCCGGGAGACAGUGUCAGGUGGGCAGUUUGACUGGGGCGGUCGCCUCCUAAAGUGUAACGGAGGCGCCCAAAGGUUCCCUCAGAAUGGUUGGAAAUCAUUCGUAGAGUGCAAAGGCAUAAGGGAGCUUGACUGCGAGACCUACAAGUCGAGCAGGGACGAAAGUCGGGCUUAGUGAUCCGGUGGUUCCGCAUGGAAGGGCCAUCGCUCAACGGAUAAAAGCUACCCCGGGGAUAACAGGCUUAUCUCCCCCAAGAGUCCACAUCGACGGGGAGGUUUGGCACCUCGAUGUCGGCUCAUCGCAUCCUGGGGCUGUAGUCGGUCCCAAGGGUUGGGCUGUUCGCCCAUUAAAGCGGUACGCGAGCUGGGUUCAGAACGUCGUGAGACAGUUCGGUCCCUAUCCGUCGUGGGCGUAGGAAAUUUGAGAGGAGCUGUCCUUAGUACGAGAGGACCGGGAUGGACGCACCGCUGGUGUACCAGUUGUUCUGCCAAGGGCAUAGCUGGGUAGCUAUGUGCGGAAGGGAUAAGUGCUGAAAGCAUCUAAGCAUGAAGCCCCCCUCAAGAUGAGAUUUCCCAUAGCGUAAGCUAGUAAGAUCCCUGAAAGAUGAUCAGGUUGAUAGGUUCGAGGUGGAAGCAUGGUGACAUGUGGAGCUGACGAAUACUAAUAGAUCGAGGACUUAACCAUAUAA
rnacentral:rRNA from 1 species